GUUUCCAGUUUGGUGAACACAUUGAAGUGCUGGCCUGCUGAAGCUGUGAGAAAGCUCAGACUUCCAUCCCUACAUUGUUGAGAACUGGCAAUGUUACAAAGAAGAAACCCCUCAAGACUAUCCGACCAAACAUUUCGUCUCUGAGAAAUGUUCACUCACCCCAGGGUGUGGAACUGAAGGAGUAUUGGUGCCAGUGUCUCCAGACAAGCCUUCUGCAGGAAGCCCUGUGCUUUACCACGAGAGUUUUCUCCAGGGUCAGAGACAGUGGAAGUCGCACUGAAACACUGGAAAACAUUACAUGCAAGAAAAUUCUUAGAAUUGAAUUCUGGUGUGAGUAAUGAAAUAUUUCCCUUUGCAAAAAAAUCAAUUUAGUCAUCAGAUCAAAAUCUGAACCAGUCUUGUUUAUAAUGGCUAUAAAAAUGUAAAUCAAGCAAUUGCUGACUUGGUUUCUUACCUGUCCACCCAUUGUAUGUCAUGAACAAACUGAAAUGCAGUCUCUCGCUUUAGAGCUAAACAGUGCUAUUUUUAUGGAGGAAGUCCCUGAAUUUUGAUGUGAAAUAUUUUUCUCUAAAUUCUGCCAUCUGGGAAAGCUUUAUAAAAUCUUGUUUUCUAACACACCUAUCAAUAAAAUAUAAUGCUUAAAUCAGACAAUAAAAUAUGAUUAUUUAUAUUUAUAUGUUCUGUCAAUCUAUAUGAUGUAGCAGGAGUUCUGUGUCCAUCAGAAUCUCUUUUCCAGUCCUUUCUACUUCUGGAUCGCACAUGAGGCUGGUCCCAAUCCACACCACUGAGAAAAUCCUG
rnacentral:lncRNA from 10 species